rnacentral:tRNA from 1 species
GUUAAGAUAGCAAAGAUCGGUAAUUGUAUAAAACUUAAAACUUUAUAUCAGAGGUUCAAAUCCUCUUCUUAAUA